AUUUACAAUUUGUACUUUGUCCCAACUUUUUUGGAAUCGGGGUUGUAAUUAAAAUAUUAAUGCAACAUUGCUAACUAGCUAGUGUAUCACUCCCAAGCACACCAUAGGUCAGACUAUACAGCCAGACAAGGAGUCAAAGUGGUGGAGUAUUUAUUGUGCAAUGCUAGCUGGCUAAUAACAUCAGGUAAGUGGCACUGCAUUGAUUUGUGUUCACUAUUUGUGCUAACUAAUGACUGCCGAUGCAAACCAGGUGUGAGUUCUGGUGCCGGUUUGUAGCUGGUUCGAUUUGCAAACCUUCUAAGAACUUCACUGAAAAAUGGAGGCAGCAUUUGAAGAACAUGGCAAGGUUAUAAUUGAUUUCUUUAAUCUGAGGUCCACAAAUGAAGAGGUGAAGCCUGUCCUGUACAGUCUAGAUGGUGGCCGAAGAAGUAUCCAUCGCUUGUUGAUAGCAAACUUCAGGGAACAGAUGGACUCCCUCUUCAAUAAUGCAGAUGUACUAGUGCAUCUCAGACCAUUAGAAUAUCAUGAAAAAGUUCAUUAUUUCAUAAUUUAAUUCAAAAAGAUCAAUCAAAAUAGGAUUUAGAAAGGAACCCCACUGAAAACCCUGUGGAGUGAACUGAAGAAGAGAAGCACAAGAGAGGGCUUCAGACCCUGGAUGAUCUGGAGAGAUUAUGUAAAGAGGAAUGGUCUCAGAUGCCUUGCUCUGUAUCUCCAACCUUAUAAAAUGUUAUCGGAGAAGACUCGGUGCUGUUUUACUGGCAAAGGGAGGUUGUACAAAGUAUUAAAUGCAGGGGCACCAAUAAUAGUGGAAUGUGUGUCUUUGUUGAAAAUAAUUAUUUCUUGAUGAGGGAUUUGGUUUUCUCUGAAUAAAUUUAUUUCAAUUAAAGGUUGGCUUUUUCUGAAUUUUUUUUUUUCAUUGUGAGAUGGGGCAAAGGGACGGUUCAACAAAAAUAAUCCUUUAAAUGUAAUUUCAUCUAAUAUUACUAUAGCCACAAAUCGUGUGUGUGUGUGUGUGUUUUUAUCCACUGUUACUUGUUUGUAAUGUGUGAGGACCGCUGUUAAAUAUUUGCUGUGCAAUUAUUAGAGCUGUAUUUUAAUUUCAAUAACAAGGCCAAAUGAAUUUCUUUGUAAAUUAACUGAAGUGUUUUUGCUCAGGUGUGAAUCCCUGUAUUUCAUUAAACUGCCUUUUUAUGGUAAAA